AUACGUAGGGGGCGAGCGUUGUCCGGAAUGAUUGGGCGUAAAGGGCGCGUAAGCGGCCCGGUAAGUCUGGAGUGAAAGUCCUGUUUUUAAGAUGGGAAUUGCUUUGGAUACUGUCGGGCUUGAGUGCAGGAGAGGUAAGUGGAAUUCCCAGUGUAGCGGUGAAAUGCGUAGAGAUUGGGAGGAACACCAGUGGCGAAGGCGACUUACUGGACUGUAACUGACGCUGAGGCGCGAAAGUGUGGGGAGCAAACAGGAUUAGAUACCCUGGUAGUCCACACUGUAAACGAUGAAUGCUAGGUGUAGGGGGUAUCGACCCCUUCUGUGCCGCAGUCAACACAAUAAGCAUUCCGCCUGGGGAGUACGGCCGCAAGGUUGAAACUCAAAUGAAUUGACGGG
rnacentral:rRNA from 1 species